UACGUAGGGGGCAAGCGUUGUCCGGAUUUAUUGGGCGUAAAGCGGGUGUAGGUGGGCUUCUAAGUCAGGUGUGAAAUCCCAGGGCUCAACCCUGGAAGUGCACUUGAUACUGGAAGUCUUGAGUGUGGUAGAGGCUAUUAGAAUUCUUGGUGUAGUGGUGAAAUACGUAGAUAUCAAGAGGAAUACCGGAGGCGAAGGCGGAUAGCUGGGCCAACACUGACACUGAGACCCGAAAGCGUGGGGAUCAAACAGG
rnacentral:rRNA from 1 species